rnacentral:rRNA from 1 species
UCGGGAAUUUUGGGCAAUGGGCGAAAGCCUGACCCAGCAACGCCGCGUGAAGGAUGAAGUAUUUCGGUAUGUAAACUUCGAAAGAAUAGGAGGAAUAAAUGACGGUACUAUUUAUAAGGUCCGGCUAACUACGUGCCAGCAGCCGCGGUAAUACGUAGGGACCAAGCGUUGUUCGGAUUUACUGGGCGUAAAGGGCGCGUAGGCGGAUUUGUAAGUCAGGGGUGAAAUCCCGGGGCUCAACCUCGGAACUGCCUUUGAUACUGCGGAUCUCGAGUCCGAUAGAGGUGAGUGGAAUUCCUAGUGUAGAGGUGAAAUUCGUAGAUAUUAGGAAGAACACCGGUGGCGAAGGCGACUCACUGGAUCGGUACUGACGCUGAGGUGCGAAAGCGUGGGGAGCAAACAGGAUUAGAUACCCCCGUAGUCCCUGAGCGGGCUGGCAAGGCGCAU